rnacentral:lncRNA from 1 species
GUAUCAUCAUCUGGCCCCCAGGAGAGUAGUUCUACCUGAGUGGAUAUUGCUGGGUAGUGUUAUAGUAGUAGAGGAUGCUGGGAAGUGGGACAGCAGUAGAGGAUGCUGGGUAUUGUAGAGCUAUAGCAGAAGAGGAUGUUGGGUAGUGUAAUGGUAUAGCAGUAGAGGAUGCUGGAUAGUGGUAUAGCAGUAGAGGAUGCUGGGUAGUGGUAUUGCUGUAGAGGAUGCUGGGUAAAGGUAUAACAGUAGAGGAUGCUGGGUAGUGUAGUGGUAGAGCAGUAGAGGAUGCUGGGUAGUGGUACAGGAGUAGAGGAUUCUGGGUAGUGGUAUAGCAGUAGAGGAUGCUGGGUAGUGGUAUAGGAUUAGAGAAUUCUGGGUAGUGUAGUGGUAGAGCAGUAGAGAAUGCUGGGUAGUGUAGUGGUAUAGCGGUAGAGGAUGCUGGGUAGUGUAGUGGUAGAGCAGUAGAGUUUGCUGGGAAGUGUAGCGGUAUAGCAGUAGAGGAUGCCUGGUAGUGUCGUGGUAUGGCAGUAGAGUUUGCUGGGAAGUGUAGUGGUAUAGCAGUAGAGGAUGCCUGGUAGUGUAGUGGUAUAGCAGUAGAGGAUGCUGGGUAGUGUAGUGGUAGAGGAUGCUGGGUAGUGUAGUUGUAUAGCGGUAGAGGAUGCUGGGUAGUGUAGUGGUAUAUCGGUAGAGGAUGCU